rnacentral:rRNA from 1 species
GGGUGACCUCAGAUCAGGUAGGGAUNCCCGC